CGGGAACGCGACGCCUUCGCCGAGCGGCUGCGGCGCCGCGACCGCGACCGGGGCGCCCGCGGGGACAGCAAGGCCUACGAAGAAGCCCAGAAACGCCUCAAAAUCGCUGAGGAAGA